UACGUAGGGUGCAAGCGUUGUCCGGAAUCACUGGGCGUAAAGGGCGCGUAGGCGGGCGAUCAAGCGUGCGGUGAAAGCUCGGGGCUCAACUCCGAGUCGGCCGUGCGAACUGGUUGUCUAGAGUCUGGUAGAGGUCGAUGGAAUUCCGGGUGUAGCGGUGGAAUGCGUAGAGAUCCGGAAGAACACCGGUGGCGAAGGCGGUCGACUGGGCCAGUACUGACGCUGAUGCGCGACAGCGUGGGGAGCAAACAGG
rnacentral:rRNA from 1 species